rnacentral:rRNA from 1 species
GACGAACGCUGGCGGCGUGCUUAACACAUGCAAGUCGAACGGAAAGGCCCUGCUUUUGUGGGGUGCUCGAGUGGCGAACGGGUGAGUAACACGUGAGUAACCUGCCCUUGACUUUGGGAUAACUUCAGGAAACUGGGGCUAAUACCGGAUAGGAGCUCCUGCUGCAUGGUGGGGGUUGGAAAGUUUCGGCGGUUGGGGAUGGACUCGCGGCUUAUCAGCUUGUUGGUGGGGUAGUGGCUUACCAAGGCUUUGACGGGUAGCCGGCCUGAGAGGGUGACCGGCCACAUGGGGACUGAGAUACGGCCCAGAAGCCUACGGUAGGCAGCAGUGGGGAAUAUUGCACAAUGGGCGGAAGCCUGAUGCAGCAACGCCGCGUGCGGGAUGACGGCCUUCGGGUUGUAAACCGCUUUCGCCUGUGACGAAGCGUGAGUGACGGUAACGGGUAAAGAAGCACCGGCUAACUACGUG